UACGGAGGAUGCAAGCGUUAUCCGGAAUUAUUGGGCGUAAAGCGUCCGCAGGUGGUUGAUCAAGUCUGCUGUCAAAGACAGAAGCUUAACUUCUGGCAGGCAGUGGAAACUGGUAGACUAGAGUACGGUAGGGGUUGAGGGAAUUCCCAGUGUAGCGGUGAAAUGCGUAGAUAUUGGGAAGAACACCAGUGGCGAAGGCGCUCAACUAGGCCGUAACUGACACUGAGGGACGAAAGCUAGGGGAGCGAAAGGG
rnacentral:rRNA from 1 species